AUGGCGGGCGGGCGCCUGGCCAGCCUGGGACGGCGGCUCUCAGGCUCCUGCCACCGCCUGGAACUGCGGGGGGCGCGCCGGCCACAGUCGCCCUCGCCUGCUCUCCGGGCCUUCUUGGGCCCGCUUGGUCCCAGGUGGACGCGAGUCGAGCUGGGCACACCUGGGCCAGCGCCGCACUUACCUGCGGGAUUGGUGAGAGCGUUUUCGCGAGGUCGCAAAUUCCGGGUAAUCAAAAACUCAGAAUUUCUGUAAUAGAAGAAAUGGUUUGGGAAGGAGCCAAAAUUAUUGGUAUUCUGAAUAUUUCAUUAUAUCAUAUAGAGACCAUGAAGGGUCUUAUUAAGAUUGCUAUGCUAUGCCUUGUAUGACUAAGACCUCUUACCAAGAAUACGUGUCAGACCAUAAAACCACUGCCAAGGAGUGCGGGGGUGGCAAUGAAACAGCCCAACAGGAAAAGGAA
rnacentral:sRNA from 1 species